AUUGAACGCUGGCGGCAUGCUUUACACAUGCAAGUCGAACGGCAGCGCGGGCUUCGGCCUGGCGGCGAGUGGCGAACGGGUGAGUAAUAUAUCGGAACGUACCCAAGAGUGGGGGAUAACGUAGCGAAAGUUACGCUAAUACCGCAUACGAUCUAAGGAUGAAAGCAGGGGAUCGCAAGACCUUGUGCUCCUGGAGCGGCCGAUAUCUGAUUAGCUAGUUGGUGGGGUAAAGGCCCACCAAGGCAACGAUCAGUAGCUGGUCUGAGAGGACGACCAGCCACACUGGGACUGAGACACGGUCCAGACUCCUACGGGAGGCAGCAGUGGGGAAUUUUGGACAAUGGGGGCAACCCUGAUCCAGCAAUGCCGCGUGAGUGAAGAAGGCC
rnacentral:rRNA from 1 species